AGUGGUUCGUAUGAGUCCAAGGGUUUUGAAGUCAUGGUGUGCCAUAGACAGGAACAUUUUCUCCUUGUUAAUUCCUCUCUUAUUUUGUAUCAGGUAUCUAACAGAGAGAUUGCAGUUCUUCAUUCUGGUCUCUGUUCAGGAUUGGCAGUCUUCCAGGUAUGUGACACAGAUGGGUAUGUGUCCAAACACAGUGCUGGACUUCAACCACCAAUUCUACACCUGAAACCCAGCCCAACAGGAUCUAAGUAAUCUGCUUCUUUCAGAAUUAUCAGGAAAGAAGAGAGCGGCAGCUUUGGAUGUAUCUAGAAUACAGAGAUGACUCUAGAUUUUGCCACUCCAGAGUGGCAGAGUGACAGAAACAAAGAAUUGUUUUGGGACACAAAUGGAUUGGAUGAAGAGGACAGAAAGUGGUGCAAACAGUGUUGAAUGAAGUCCCGUCCUCCCAAAAUUCUACCCUGCUCAUGAAGCAUUAAAGACAUUGAAUUAUU